GGAGUCUCACAUGUGCGCGAGUCACKGGGGUGUCGGAGAGAACCCVGAGGCGAAGUGAAAGCGGGGGCGUCUCUAAGACGCCCGGGAAGGACGGCGCGCAGGCGCACCGGAGCGUACACGUUGGGACCCGAAAGAUGGUGAACUAUGCUUGGUCAGGACGAAGUUAGGGGAAACCCUGAUUGAGGUCCGCAGAGAUUCUGACGAGCAAAUCGAUCGUCAGAGCUCGUUAUAGGGGCGAAAGACUAAUCGAACCAUCUAGUAGCUGGUUCUCUCCGAAGUUUCCCUCAGGAUAGCUGGAGUCCAUUUCGACCGGGACGAGUUUCAUCCGGUAAAGCGAAUGAGGCCGAAACGACCUCAACCUAUUCUCAAACUAAAUGAGUGAGAUCUCCGGCUUGCUUGACUGAAGCCGCGAUGUCUGGAUCAAGGUGCGAAAUGGGCCAUUUUUG
rnacentral:rRNA from 1 species